rnacentral:rRNA from 1 species
AUUGAACGCUGGCGGCAGGCUUAACACAUGCAAGUCGAGCGGAGACUUCGGUCUUAGCGGCGAACGGGUGAGUAAUACCUAGGAAUCUGCCUAUUAGUGGGGGAUAACGAAUCGAAAGGUUCGCUAAUACCGCAUACGUCCUACGGGAGAAAGGGGGGAUCUUCGGACCUCUCGCUAAUAGAUGAGCCUAGGCCGGAUUAGCUAGUUGGUAGGGUAAAGGCCUACCAAGGCGACGAUCCGUAGCUGGUCUGAGAGGAUGAUCAGCCACACUGGAACUGAGACACGGUCCAGACUCCUACGGGAGGCAGCAGUGGGGAAUAUUGGACAAUGGGGGCAACCCUGAUCCAGCCAUGCCGCGUGUGUGAAGAAGGCCU